rnacentral:rRNA from 1 species
CGCAAUGGGCGAAAGCCUGACGGAGCAAUACCGCGUGAGGGAGGAAGGCUCUUGGGUUGUAAACCUCUUUUCUCAGGGAAGAAGAAARUGACGGUACCUGAGGAAUAAGCAUCGGCUAACUCCGUGCCAGCAGCCGCGGUAAUACGGAGGAUGCAAGCGUUAUCCGGAAUGAUUGGGCGUAAAGGGUCCGCAGGUGGCAUUGUAAGUCUGCUGUUAAAGAGUCAGGCUCAACCUAAUAAAAGCAGUGGAAACUACAAAGCUAGAGUGUGGUCGGGGCAGAGGGAAUUCCUGGUGUAGCGGUGAAAUGCGUAGAUAUCAGGAAGAACAUCGGUGGCGAAGGCGCUCUG